AUACGGAGGGUGCAAGCGUUAUCCGGAAUCAUUGGGUUUAAAGGGUCCGUAGGCGGACUAUUAAGUCAGAGGUGAAAUCCCACAGCUCAGCUGUGGAACUGCCUUUGAUACUGGUAGUCUUGAGUUAUAUGGAAGUAGAUAGAAUGUGUAGUGUAGCGGUGAAAUGCAUAGAUAUUACACAGAAUACCGAUUGCGAAGGCGGUCUACUACGCAUAUACUGACGCUAAGGGACGAAAGCGUGGGGAGCGAACAGGAUUAGAAACCCUAGUAGUCC
rnacentral:rRNA from 1 species